AUAAGACCCGAAACGUGGUGAUCUAUCCUUGGCCAGGCUAGUAAAUAGGCCGAAUGGUUCAAUGUUGCAGUAUUGUCCAAUGAGCUGAGGAUUGUAGGUGAAAGGCCAAUCUGACCACGAGAUAGCUGGUAUGCAAUGAAACAUAUAUAGGUAUGACUCUCUAGUUAGAUUUACGCGGGUACAGCACUGAUUGCCAUACUUGAGUCAUGAAUUUGGCUUAGGUUCAAUUGGGGGGCCGAGAGGCUUUACCAUUGGUAGUUAACCUCGGAAUAACGUAAAUUGGUACAGAGAUUUCAGACUGCUCAUGAUAAGGUGGGUAGUCGAGACGGAAACAGCCGUGAGCAUAGAAUAAGGUCCCAAAAUAGUGGUUAAGUGAAAAUAAGGAAGUUAUAAUCCUCACACAACUAUAAAGUGUGCUUGGUAGUGGCAAUCUUUUAAUGAAAGUGUAACAACUUAGUAGUCUAAUGGAUU
rnacentral:rRNA from 1 species